rnacentral:rRNA from 1 species
CCUACGGGUGGCAGCAGUGGGGAAUAUUGGACAAUGGGCGUAAGCCUGAUCCAGCCAUGCCGCGUGUGUGAAGAAGGCCUUCGGGUUGUAAAGCACUUUCAGUGGGGAAGAAAGCCUUGGGGCUAAUACCCUCGAGGAAGGACAUCACCCACAGAAGAAGCACCGGCUAACUCCGUGCCAGCAGCCGCGGUAAUACGGAGGGUGCGAGCGUUAAUCGGAAUUACUGGGCGUAAAGCGCGCGUAGGCGGUCUGAUAAGCCGGUUGUGAAAGCCCCGGGCUCAACCUGGGAACGGCAUCCGGAACUGUCAGGCUAGAGUUCAGGAGAGGAAGGUAGAAUUCCCGGUGUAGCGGUGAAAUGCGUAGAGAUCGGGAGGAAUACCAGUGGCGAAGGCGGCCUUCUGGACUGACACUGACGCUGAGGUGCGAAAGCGUGGGUAGCAAACAGGAUUAGAUACCCGUGUAGUC